rnacentral:miRNA from 1 species
UCUGUGGUUGCGUGAUCGCCGAG